GUGGGGAAUAUUGGACAAUGGGGGGAACCCUGAUCCAGCCAUGCCGCGUGUGUGAUGAAGGCCUUUUGGUUGUAAAGCACUUUAAGCGAGGAGGAGGCUACCGAGAUUAAUACUCUUGGAUAGUGGACGUUACUCGCAGAAUAAGCACCGGCUAACUCUGUGCCAGCAGCCGCGGUAAUACAGAGGGUGCAAGCGUUAAUCGGAUUUACUGGGCGUAAAGCGCGCGUAGGUGGCCAAUUAAGUCAAAUGUGAAAUCCCCGAGCUUAACUUGGGAAUUGCAUUCGAUACUGGUUGGCUAGAGUAUGGGAGAGGAUGGUAGAAUUCCAGGUGUAGCGGUGAAAUGCGUAGAGAUCUGGAGGAAUACCGAUGGCGAAGGCAGCCAUCUGGCCUAAUACUGACACUGAGGUGCGAAAGCAUGGGGAGCAAACAGGAUUAGAAACCCCUGUAGUCC
rnacentral:rRNA from 1 species